GGGGGUGACUGGCUUCGACAGGGAAAUCGGUAUGUGCGUGCGCGCGGCGAACUUGCGGAAUGUUCUCAAACUUUCGCAAACUUCAAGUGCGAACAAAGUAGCACGUGCAGUUGUUUCGCCCAUUCAAUUGGGUAACCUGCAGCUCGCAUAACGCCUCCGGGCCUUAUGCGCCGUCCGCGGAGCCGAAGCUUGAUCAAGCUUCGUCGGGCGUAAAAUUCUCAAGCGCAAGUCGGUGGUGUCCAACGCCGACCCCAGCACACGGACUCGGGGUGAUGUGUUUUCGUUCAUCUUAUAUACAUCACUCCUAAACAAAAACAGGUGAUCUACGCCACGUAGACACACGCACCGUACUUUUCUCUGGACGGGAGUUCGAUUCUCCCCACCUCCACCA
rnacentral:tmRNA from 1 species